UUAAGCGACUAAGCGUACACGGUGGAUGCCCUGGCAGUCAGAGGCGAUGAAGGACGUGCUAAUCUGCGAUAAGCGUCGGUAAGGUGAUAUGAACCGUUAUAACCGGCGAUUUCCGAAUGGGGAAACCCAGUGUGAUUCGUCACACUAUCAUUAACUGAAUCCAUAGGUUAAUGAGGCGAACCGGGGGAACUGAAACAUCUAAGUACCCCGAGGAAAAGAAAUCAACCGAGAUUCCCCCAGUAGCGGCGAGCGAACGGGGAGCAGCCCAGAGCCUGAAUCAGUGUGUGUGUUAGUGGAAGCGUCUGGAAAGGCGCGCGAUACAGGGUGACAGCCCCGUACACAAAAAUGCACAUACUGUGAGCUCGAUGAGUAGGGCGGGACACGUGGUAUCCUGUCUGAAUAUGGGGGGACCAUCCUCCAAGGCUAAAUACUCCUGACUGACCGAUAGUGAACCAGUACCGUGAGGGAAAGGCGAAAAGAACCCCGGCGAGGGGAGUGAAAAAGAACCUGAAACCGUGUACGUACAAGCAGUGGGAGCACAGAGCAAUCUGUGUGACUGCGUACCUUUUGUAUAAUGGGUCAGCGACUUAUAUUCUGUAGCAAGGUUAACCGAAUAGGGGAGCCGAAGGGAAACCGAGUCUUAACUGGGCGUUAAGUUGCAGGGUAUAGACCCGAAACCCGGUGAUCUAGCCAUGGGCAGGUUGAAGGUUGGGUAACACUAACUGGAGGACCGAACCGACUAAUGUUGAAAAAUUAGCGGAUGACUUGUGGCUGGGGGUGAAAGGCCAAUCAAACCGGGAGAUAGCUGGUUCUCCCCGAAAGCUAUUUAGGUAGCGCCUCGUGAAUUCAUCUCCGGGGGUAGAGCACUGUUUCGGCAAGGGGGUCAUCCCGACUUACCAACCCGAUGCAAACUGCGAAUACCGGAGAAUGUUAUCACGGGAGACACACGGCGGGUGCUAACGUCCGUCGUGAAGAGGGAAACAACCCAGACCGCCAGCUAAGGUCCCAAAGUCAUGGUUAAGUGGGAAACGAUGUGGGAAGGCCCAGACAGCCAGGAUGUUGGCUUAGAAGCAGCCAUCAUUUAAAGAAAGCGUAAUAGCUCACUGGUCGAGUCGGCCUGCGCGGAAGAUGUAACGGGGCUAAACCAUGCACCGAAGCUGCGGCAGCGACGCUUAUGCGUUGUUGGGUAGGGGAGCGUUCUGUAAGCCUGCGAAGGUGUGCUGUGAGGCAUGCUGGAGGUAUCAGAAGUGCGAAUGCUGACAUAAGUAACGAUAAAGCGGGUGAAAAGCCCGCUCGCCGGAAGACCAAGGGUUCCUGUCCAACGUUAAUCGGGGCAGGGUGAGUCGACCCCUAAGGCGAGGCCGAAAGGCGUAGUCGAUGGGAAACAGGUUAAUAUUCCUGUACUUGGUGUUACUGCGAAGGGGGGACGGAGAAGGCUAUGUUGGCCGGGCGACGGUUGUCCCGGUUUAAGCGUGUAGGCUGGUUUUCCAGGCAAAUCCGGAAAAUCAAGGCUGAGGCGUGAUGACGAGGCACUACGGUGCUGAAGCAACAAAUGCCCUGCUUCCAGGAAAAGCCUCUAAGCAUCAGGUAACAUCAAAUCGUACCCCAAACCGACACAGGUGGUCAGGUAGAGAAUACCAAGGCGCUUGAGAGAACUCGGGUGAAGGAACUAGGCAAAAUGGUGCCGUAACUUCGGGAGAAGGCACGCUGAUAUGUAGGUGAAGCGACUUGCUCGUGGAGCUGAAAUCAGUCGAAGAUACCAGCUGGCUGCAACUGUUUAUUAAAAACACAGCACUGUGCAAACACGAAAGUGGACGUAUACGGUGUGACGCCUGCCCGGUGCCGGAAGGUUAAUUGAUGGGGUUAGCGCAAGCGAAGCUCUUGAUCGAAGCCCCGGUAAACGGCGGCCGUAACUAUAACGGUCCUAAGGUAGCGAAAUUCCUUGUCGGGUAAGUUCCGACCUGCACGAAUGGCGUAAUGAUGGCCAGGCUGUCUCCACCCGAGACUCAGUGAAAUUGAACUCGCUGUGAAGAUGCAGUGUACCCGCGGCAAGACGGAAAGACCCCGUGAACCUUUACUAUAGCUUGACACUGAACAUUGAGCCUUGAUGUGUAGGAUAGGUGGGAGGCUUUGAAGUGUGGACGCCAGUCUGCAUGGAGCCGACCUUGAAAUACCACCCUUUAAUGUUUGAUGUUCUAACGUUGACCCGUGAUCCGGGUUGCGGACAGUGUCUGGUGGGUAGUUUGACUGGGGCGGUCUCCUCCUAAAGAGUAACGGAGGAGCACGAAGGUUGGCUAAUCCUGGUCGGACAUCAGGAGGUUAGUGCAAUGGCAUAAGCCAGCUUGACUGCGAGCGUGACGGCGCGAGCAGGUGCGAAAGCAGGUCAUAGUGAUCCGGUGGUUCUGAAUGGAAGGGCCAUCGCUCAACGGAUAAAAGGUACUCCGGGGAUAACAGGCUGAUACCGCCCAAGAGUUCAUAUCGACGGCGGUGUUUGGCACCUCGAUGUCGGCUCAUCACAUCCUGGGGCUGAAGUAGGUCCCAAGGGUAUGGCUGUUCGCCAUUUAAAGUGGUACGCGAGCUGGGUUUAGAACGUCGUGAGACAGUUCGGUCCCUAUCUGCCGUGGGCGCUGGAGAACUGAGGGGGGCUGCUCCUAGUACGAGAGGACCGGAGUGGACGCAUCACUGGUGUUCGGGUUGUCAUGCCAAUGGCACUGCCCGGUAGCUAAAUGCGGAAGAGAUAAGUGCUGAAAGCAUCUAAGCACGAAACUUGCCCCGAGAUGAGUUCUCCCUGACUCCUUGAGAGUCCUGAAGGAACGUUGAAGACGACGACGUUGAUAGGCCGGGUGUGUAAGCGCAGCGAUGCGUUGAGCUAACCGGUACUAAUGAACCGUGAGGCUUAACCU
rnacentral:rRNA from 1 species